rnacentral:snoRNA from 1 species
UCUGGAGACAAAGUUUACAUGUUGAAGUCCAUAGAAUCUUCCUCGUGUCUACAACGCUCCUAGAACAGCCUCCAACUCGAACGGCACAUCCUCUGUAAUGAAUUAUAUUUCAGUAGACGACUUGUGUUUGAGUACA